AACGAACGCUGGCGGCAGGCUUAACACAUGCAAGUCGAGCGCCCCGUAAGGGGAGCGGCAGACGGGUGAGUAACGCGUGGGAAUCUACCCAUCUCUACGGAAUAACGCAUGGAAACGUGUGCUAAUACCGUAUACGUCCUUCGGGAGAAAGAUUUAUCGGAGAUGGAUGAGCCCGCGUUGGAUUAGCUAGUUGGUGGGGUAAAGGCCUACCAAGGCGACGAUCCAUAGCUGGUCAGAGAGGAUGAUCAGCCACACUGGGACUGAGACACGGCCCAGACUCCUACGGGAGGCAGCAGUGGGGAAUAUUGGACAGUGGGCGCAAGCCUGAUCCAGCCAUGCCGCGUGAGUGAUGAAGGCCCUAGGGUUGUAAAGCUCUUUCACCGGUGAAGAUAAUGACGGUAGCCGGAGAAGAAGCCCCGGCUAACUUCGUGCCAGCCGCCGCCGUAACAC
rnacentral:rRNA from 1 species